rnacentral:rRNA from 1 species
GACCUCGGAUCAGGUAGGGAUACCCGCUGAACUUAAGCAUAUCAAUAAGCGGAGGAAAAGAAACCAACAGGGAUUGCCUCAGUAACGGCGAGUGAAGCGGCAACAGCUCAAAUUUGAAAUCUGGCCUUAAGCGGGGUCCGAAUUGUAAUUUGCAGAGGGCGUUUCGGGCGACGCGCCGGUCUAAGUCCCUUGGAACGGGGCGUCAUAGAGGGUGAGAAUCCCGUAUGUGACCGGCGACCGAGCCUGUGUGAAACCCCUUCGACGAGUCGAGUUGUUUGGGAAUGCAGCUCAAAGCGGGUGGUAAAUUUCAUCUAAAGCUAAAUACCGGCCAGAGACCGAUAGCGCACAAGUAGAGUGAUCGAAAGAUGAAAAGCACUUUGGAAAGAGAGUCAAAAAGUACGUGAAAUUGUUGAAAGGGAAGCGCUUGCAACCAGACCUGCCCGCGGGUGAUCAGCCGUCCUUCGGGGCGGUGCACUCACCCGCGAUCAGGCCAGCAUCGGUUCGGGCGGCCGGAUAAAGGCCUUGGGAACGUGGCUCCCCUCGGGGAGCGUUAUAGCCCAGGGUGCAAUGCGGCCCGCCCGGACCGAGGACCGCGCUUCGGCUAGGAUGCUGGCGUAAUGGUUGUAAGCGGCCCGUCUUGAAACACGGACCAAGGAGUCGACCAACCGUGCGAGUGUUUGGGCGUCAAACCCACACGCGCAAUGAAAGUGAACGGAGGUGGGAACCCCUCGCGGGGCGCACCAUCGACCGAUCCAGAUGUCUUCGGAUGGAUUUGAGUACGAGCAUGGCUGGUCGGACCCGAAAGAUGGUGAACUAUGCCUGGAUAGGGUGAAGCCAGAGGAAACUCUGGUGGAGGCUCGCAGCGGUUCUGACGUGCAAAUCGAUCGUCAAAUUUGGGCAUAGGGGCGAAAGACUAAUCGAACCAUCUAGUAGCUGGUUCCAGCCGAAGUUC